rnacentral:misc_RNA from 1 species
UGAAGCCAGUAGUGGGCAGGUGAGUGUUCGAGUGAGAGACAAACCUGAUCAUCAAGUCAUGACGGUUGACGUUCUCCUUGCUCAGUUCAAAGAUAUGGUUGCAUCAUUUCAGUAAGAGUCGCCACUUCUCUUGCAUUAUAUCCCCGAGGGCUCUGGUGAGCGCAGCACUCUAGACUCACGGACAUGGGUUUGAAACCUUGCCGCAGAAGAACGAACUGUUAAUAUUUUGAUCCAUUGUAGCUAUUACAUUAUAAAUUCACUAGGAUACCUUUUGACUUGAAUGGUUUUCAAUAGCAUGUUAGCAUCUUAUUCUUUCUUCUAAUGUGGGUUUGAGCUUUGACUCGAAUGGUGUUUUCAGUAGCUGGUAAAAG